rnacentral:lncRNA from 1 species
UUUUUUUUUUUUUUUUUCGAGACAGGGUCUCUCUGUGUAGCCCUGGCUGUCCUGGAACUCAUUCUGUAGACCAGGCUGGCUUGGAACUUGGAAAUCCGCCUGCCUCUGCCUCCCAAGUGCUGGGAUUAAAGGUGUGCGCCAACAGGCCUGGCCUGAAUAAUGUAUUCUGAAUAGGUAGAGACAAUAAAGCCAGUCUAUCUGGAGGGCUGGUAAUAACUAAGGAGACUGGAUGGGUAGGUUUGUUAGACCACGAAGCUUGGAUCCCCGUCCCCGGUUUUUCCUUUAGACCAAGUCACACUAUAUAGGCCUGGCAAGCUUGGGACUUGCUGUAUAGACCGUCUGGCAUUUAACUCCAGCGGUGGUAUUGUCUGGAGACUAUUUCCACUUGGGGAUUGGUCACAGGGUGAGGGCUGUCUGUCUGUCUGCACACUGUGGGGAUAGUGGUUCCCUUGGCUUGUUAGCAGGCUCUUCCCCUUCAGACCGGGAGCCAGUCCAGUUUAGUGGAGUGAAUUGGUCUUGUUUGCUACUGUAACCCCAACCUCCAGGAAUUUUGGCAUAAGAAAGAUGAUUAAACUGAGAGAAAAUGAUUUCUAUACCCUAUGCAUUUCUGGGUGCAUAUUGAGAUGUGGCUGUGCAUUUUAGAUCCCCUCUGAAAGGGCCUGUGCAGGACAGCAGAACUUGUAUUACAGAUCUCAGGUGGCUUUUACUCAGUCUCAGGUGCUGCAGAAUGAAGCCAUGGCCAUAUUUAAUGUCAUAUUGUUACUUUUUAAGGGGCCUAUUUCCUAGCCUUAAAUUAUAGACUAAUUUUCUGCUAUAGAAUCCAGUAGCUUAUUUUCUGUCUCUGCCUUUUGUUUGACUUUUUCUUUCUUUUGUGGCAGUUUUGGGAGGUAGUAUGCUCUAUUUGUUAUUUUACUCCCAAUCAUCCUGUUCUCAUGAAGUUCCCCCUGCUUUCUGCCUGUUCACCUUUAAGUUCUCCAUUCAGCACCUUUCCCGGUUAUCUCCAUCUUAAGAAGCUGCGUUGCAGAGGGUCAUGACUAAAGUUGCUUGCUCAAUGAGUAUGGGAUUAUGUGAAGCAGCCAGUGGGUGAGAAAAAUGUGAUGAGGGAAUUUGGACCCUGUGAAGAAUGUUCGUUUGUACUUGUUUACAGCUGAUUGUCACAAGCCUUUUUUCCAAGGUCAGUUUUAGGGAAUUUAAACUUAGUUUUGGCUAAUGGAGCCCAAUAAAACCAAACAAAAUC